GUGGCAAUGAGUGGUAUGAGGUCAUAGAUUUAAGAGCAAGACCUAAAGAGACCAUGAGACAGUCAACAACACAAAAGCAUGAGAUGCUCUGCAGCAACAGUUCUCCAGGGCUGAGAUCAAGUCCUGUCUCCUCUCUAAUCCAACGCCCGUCAUUCGCACUGACAGAAGUGAACCUUCAGAAUCCAAGAGUCAUUCGCCAGAAAUGUUACAAGAGCAAAGUGUGCGUUUUAUUAUCCCCCAGAAGGUGCAUGCGGGUGCUGGGGAUAAAACCACGCAGCAGAGCCCCUGCUUGGUGUGCACAAGUCCCCGGGCUCAGGCUCCAGGGAAGAAAUGGGGUGUGGGGACAGAAUUUUCUGUUUCUCUGUCUAACAGUAAUUCUGCCUGUCUGCCCCAAGUGAAUGAAGGUAGGAGUCUCUCACUCUGAAAACAAACAAGAACCUUUCCAGAGAGUUUGAUCAUCUUUUAAGAUUCGGUCCACACCAUCAUCCGCCCAUUUUCAGGAGAAGAAAAGUAAAUAAAGGAGGGAUACUUCACCCUGAAGCAAACAGAGAAGAGCAGCC
rnacentral:lncRNA from 1 species